UUUAGGAGGUGGGCAACCACUUGCUAUGCAAGCACCAGGGCUUCCAUUUGAAUCUCCAGCACUCAUAUCAAAAGCCAGAUGUGGUCACGUGCAAACAGUCCUGUGACCUCAGUGCUGUGAGGGUCCGAGACAUAGGGAUUACUGGGGUAUGCUGGAUGGCAGCCUGGCUCCAGAUUCAGGGAGAAACCUUUUCUGAAGGGAAUAUGAGAGAGAGUGAUAGAGUAAAUUAUCUGACAUCCUCCUGUGCCCAAACUGAGUACAUCACACACAUGUGCAUAUAUGCUACACACACACACUCACACACACACGUGUGCACACAUAUGCGCGAGCACACACCACAUUCCUCUUUUCAAGACAUGUUUAAUCUCAAUGAGGUAUGUCACUUCACUUUCCCUGCCUUUUGUUCCUUAGGCACACUUAAGGUAAUGCUCACUUUCGGUGUUCUAGGAAAGGAAUAGUACUCGAGCACAUUUCGGUCCACCCUGUGACCGUGAAGCCCACUCAAUGCUGGUGUUUUCCUUGCUUCCGAAAAACUGAUCGCUCCUCACUGAUCUUUCCUCAGUUCCCUCGUAGGCAAAAUAAGCAUAACGGUGCCAUACACCUUACAGGGUUGGCGGGAAGAUUACACGAAACACCCAGCUACACUCCUGAGGGCAGUGCUGGCAGAGAGUCAACCGCAAUCAAUAUUAGCUGCCUUUGUCCCCGUUCCUUUCAUGAUCACAAAGGACAGCCAGCAGCCCUCGUGCGCCAACCCGUCGGAAUCACUUUUGUGUGUCUACUGCGGGAGUGGAGAGGUUCGGCCAACCUAUUCUGGGACUACUGGAGAUGUGAUUUAUUAGUCCUCUGUCCAGAAGGUUUCGGGUCGGUGAGAAUGGAGGUUUUGGCUAGCUGACGAGAAAUGGAAAUGAACUCUGAAGACUGACUUACCUUAUCAGUGGAAGGGGUGUGUUCUCCUCAGGUGCUUGUCACGGGGACAAAAGGAAACCAACACAACAGCUGCAAAGGACCUUUGGCCUCAGAAGAUGGUGGCAGGUACACCACAGACGACUGCUUGCCAGAAAUUCCAGGUCUGUGCAGACUCAGACAUGAUCCCCCUUUCUGCACAGCGAGGCCAUCAUUCGGGAACGACUUCAGAGCACAUCAGAACAAGCAAGGGAACGACAAAGGAUUGCUAGGGGACCAAAGGGCUGCGUCCGCAUGAGGUUUGAAGUCGUUCGCCUGCGUCAUUCUUUGCAAGAACUGUGACCAGUCAGACCCAUAAUGCUGCUCAUCAAACAAGCCUCACCUCUUCAGACUCUGGCGCUGUCCUUCCUCGUGGAAACCACCCACCUCAGGAGAGGAUGAAGGAACGGAACUUAUAUCCCAGCGGCUAUGAAGAUCUUCUACUGGGGAAGGAAGACCUGGGACCGAGGACAUGGCUCAGGGGGUAAAAGCAGGGACCUCAUUUUGAAGAUUAGAACCCAGAAAAAUGUAUAGAACAAAUGCCUGUAAUCACUGGUGAGAUGGAUGGUGGAGACGGGAGAGUCCCCAGGAGCUCGAGGGCCAGCUAGUCUAGGGCACAGAGUGACCACAAGAUGACCUUGUCUUAAUCAAGGUAGAAAGAAAGGACCCACAGCAGAGGUUGUCCUCUGACCUUCACACACAUGUCAUAGAGAGUCCCACACACACUCAGACACACACACACACACACCACAUAGAUAGACACUUUAAAAAAAGAAGACUUUUUAGAGCAAUAGUUCUGUCUCCUCCCAUCUCUCCGAGCUUAGUGUCUUAGAAGACAUAUUGAGCUUUUCUAUGGCGUUGCCUAGGAUCAGAGGAACUGCAUGCCGUGCAGGGACCUGGAUUGGACACUGGGACAGGAGAGGGGCUAUUAAUAUGACGAACCAAACAACUUGUAAAAUCCAGAGUUUUCUUAACAGUGGCCUGUCAAGGCUUAUUUCUGAGGCUAUGUUGCUGACAUCAGAGGAGGAGCUACGAACUGCAUGUGAAAUUGCUGUGCUCUCUUGGCAGCGGCAAGCAAAUUGGAAAGGACUCCAAACCAGGGAUUUGCUACACUCCUUCCUCUCUCACGGGUCCCUUCCUAGUACUGUGGUCUACGCUGUAUGCACUCUGGGUAAAUACACAUACAUAGCAAUUAGGAGUUAUGGUCUGCCUACAAGAUUGUAUAUAAUAUUUGUCUUUUUGAGUCUGGGUUGUCUCAUUUAACAUUUCCUAGUUUCAUCCAUCUUUCUUAGUUCCUUCUCAGUUUUCCAGUUUUAUAUCAAGACUAAAGUCUUCACAGACUCUUGUCUGACCUCCCAGAGACCCCAGUUCCACCCGAUACUACCACUGACCUUCAAAUCUACCGUCAUCCCUGACUGUCUUCCUACAAUCCUGCACAGCAGACUGUGAACUUAUACAGGCAAAGGUUCUGUGUGUGUGUGCAUGUGUGUGGUAUGUGCCUGUGUAUUUGUGUGUGUGUGUGCACGAACAUGCAUAUGUGUUGGAUUGCAUAAUAUGUGCACAUGUGUGCACAUGGGCAUAUGAUCAUGUGUGUGCACAUUGUGUGUGUACGUGUGUAUGUGUGUGUGCAUACAGGCUCUGUACCUUAAUUUCUGAGUCAAAGUAGGCUUGAGGAAUAAAUGAAUGAGUUUAGUCACACCACUGAGCUCUGCUCCAUGAGUGUGCAUGCGCUUCUGAAAGGGUUUGGAGAGCCUGCUGCUGUUGAACAAUAAUGUCAUUUCCAGCAGAAUAAUUUCCAAGUGUGUGCGCGUGACUUGUGAGCUCAUACUGCUCGGCAGUAUCAGAAACAUGGACAGAGCACUUUGAAGAAUGACAUCACGAGAGUGACAACAUCUCAUGACUAAGCACCAGAAAAUGAACGAAAAUUAAUCCACCUCUAAGAUAAGUAACUAGAAGACCUUGGGGGGGGGGUGGGAAAUGGCUGCCAUAGUGAUGACACUUGUGAGUUUAUUCUUCAAUACGAAGUACUCUCCGCUGAGCCACGCCCACUUCCAAUUAGCAAUGUUAGCUCCAUUAAACUGUGAUAACGAGAGACAUCCCAGUGCUGUUUUAAACUUCCCCCACACAAUACGCUGUGGAACAAAAGGUGAAUUUUGUAGGCAAUGGGUGUAAGAUAUCAGGGAAUUUAUUUUUCACAAAGGAAUUCACAAAAGGGGUGGAGAGAAUGCCAACCAGCCUGUGCCCCUGCUUUGUGGCACACAUGUUCACUAGCUUUACUGAGUUUGCCUAAUUUACUAAACGACCUAGUUUUCAAUGACGGUAUCGAUUUUACCAAAUAGGAAAAAGAAAAAAAAAAAAAAAACAAACGUCAGACAACUGUUUAUCUUACAUCAGGUAUUACCCAGGCCAUGGCUAUUGCUCAAUAAAACUGGUGGAAAUCUCAUUUUAUGCCCUGAUUCUUCAUAAAAUUGAUAUACUUGAACAUCACAGUUAAUAGUUUUGUUUUUUUUUUCUUCCAGAAUGAAGCUAGGUUCACAAAGGCAUAGAGAAAACCCUGAAAAAGAAAACUUUUCUUUUAUGCAUUAAAAUACAUUUCUAAUAUUUACUUUGCAUUUGUUUGUGGGGGGUGCAUUUGGCAAGGCUCACAAGCAGAGGUCAGAGGGUGUUUGAGGGAGCUGAUUCUCUCCUGCUACCAUAAGAGUCCUGGGAUUGAACUCAGGUCAUCAGGCUUGUGGCGAGCACCUUGAUCCUCUGAGUCAUCUCACUGGCAACAAUGACCAUGUUUAUAAACACUAUGCAGCAAAAUAGUAGUAGUAGUAGUAGUAAUAAUAAUAAUAAUAAUAAUAAUAAUAAUGCAGAAAAGAGGUCCUACAUUCCAGUUUAGGGGUUAGAGAUGGUACAAACACAAACCAUGAGGAAAGUAAAAUGUUUUGGCUUCAUGCCUAGACUGUCCCGACCAAGCUCCGCCUCCCACCCCCACUGUGAUAUAAUCACCACAUGGAACACAUGAAGCAGUGUGCACAGCUUUCCAACAGGACUUUAUUGAUAUGAACAGUUGCAGGCCACACUUGUCUUAUAGGCCAUCAUCGCCACUCGAGUUGAGAAAAUUUAAAUAGCAUCUACCAGAGUGUGUUGCUCACAGUAAGCUCUUAACAAAUCCCAUUUGGUCAUCAGAACAGUGACAAUAAGAACAAAUACCAAGACUCAGAGAGGUGACCUGACUUGCAGAGGGUCUCAUGGAUAAAGGGUCAACCACUCACCAGCCACACUCCUCACGGACACGUGCCUUCCCAAACCUGUCUGCAAAAAUGUGUCUGCCACUAUCCUGCCGGUAUGCCAGAUGGUGAAGCUGCAGUGGGAAGUAGCCAGGGAGAGAGCAGAGACUGGAGCCUGUGAUGGGGACCUGUGGUGGCUGGAAGGAGCCAUUCCUUAAACACACAGAUGAAUCCAAGUUCUCAGUAUAUUUACUGGGAGCAAGACGCUCCAAGGAAGCUGAAUGUUUUGGCUUCUCCUACCUGGUGGCGGGCUACAGCAGGCCACCCAGGGAGCUCCGUAGGAUAUUAUUUUUCAUGGUAAUUAUUUUCAACCUUUUUGCUUGUUUCACUUAGGGAUCGAAUUCUCCUAGAAUUCCUUUGAAGACCACAGUUGUUCAGUGGAUUUCAUGUAAGUUUUCCUUAGGGAGAGAGAAAACCUGGAGCUGGGAGAGCCAAGGCUUUUAGUGUCCACGCCCUUUGGGAAGCCCACAUAUUUCUACUGUUUCAAGGAUAGCAAGCGGCAGCAGCCACAGGGCUCUCACAAGGAACUUGGAGCUGCUGGGCUGUGAAUGUGACGGCUAGAGCAUAGAGAAUUAAUUUCCUGAGCGGAGUCUCUGCCCCUUACGAUGGGCUUUUUCCAAGCUUAGUGCUUUCUGAGCUCUAUCAUUUGUGGGUUUCCAUGGGAAGAAGGAAGGCAGGGAGCCCACCACAUGGUUGGAGGGGGCCGAAUUCUUCUGACAAAUGAUUUUGCUGACUUGAGACAUCUGGGUCACAUCGGGCUCCAAUCUGAUUUUAAGAUCUUUCUUCCCAGGCCAAAGACAAUGUUCUCCUUGGAAGUCCUAGGCACCACUGUGCUGGAGGCCACACACGCCAUCUUUUCGUUGCUUUAAGCCAUUGUUAUCGGAUGGAGGCAAUGAGAGCUGAUUUGUUACCUCUGGCUACCUAUGAAAAGGGGGUGUCCUCUUUGUUGAUGCUUUCUCUGGUUGGGUUUUUUCCCCCCUGAGGUCCUUUGAAUGAUUUUUAAAUGAUCACUUUAAGGAAGUUUUAAAAAGAAAUUCCAUCUCAAUUAUCAUUCUUUUUAAAUUAUGCGUCUGUGGGUCUCUGCGGGUUUGCGUGUGUGAGUGCAGGGCCUGUAGAGGCCAGAAGAGGGCGUCGGGUCCCCCGGAGUUAUCCUUAAGGGAGGGUGUGAGCUGUCCCUGACAUGAGUGAGAGGGAGCUAGACUCCAGCCCUCUGCAAGAGCACUGGCAGAGCCAUCUCUAGAGUCCUCAACUAGACAUUCGCUUGCCUUCCUGUGUGUGUGUGUGGGGGGGGGAUGUCUCCUGUGCCUGGCUGCUGCCUAGUUUAUGAUGUCACAUCAACAUAGCUUUCUCCUUGAGAGCUAGUGAGAAAGAAACCUGGUUACAGUUCAACAUGAUAAAUGCUGUUUUUGAGGCAUUUGCAGUAGUGAGGGGGACACUUUUCAAAAGACUGAAAAUCUUAAUCAAGGGUGUGAACUAAUUCACCAAGGGAAGUAAACAUGAGGCUUGCACCACACUGACCAUGUGUGAAACUCAAAUGGAGGUGCUGGGAUUUCUUAGGGCCAUAUUAAGAAUUAAAAGUUCGUUUUUCUCAACUGCUUUCAGUGUGCUACAUUGUUAUUCUUCUUGUACAUCUUAGUUUCCACAGACUAUAUCAUAGUUUCUGAUACUUUAGAAGAACAUAACAGUAAGGUCAGUCAAUGGUUUUAAUGAUUUUCUUUUAAAAUUUAUUUUUAAUGAUGUGCACAUAUGUGUAUUUUAUAUAUGAGUGUAUGCACAUGUGAGUGCAGGUACCAAUGGAAGUCAGAAGAGGGCAUUAGAGCCCCUGGAAGUGGAGUUAAAGGUGGUGGUGAGGUGCCCAGCAUGAGCACUGUGAACUGAACUCAGGUCCUCGGCAAGAGCAGUCCACACGCUGACCCUCUGAGCUCUCGCUCAGCCUCACUACGAUUUUCCCUAAUGUGUCUUAUUCUCAAGAG